ACAACAAGAUAUCUAAAAAACGUGACCAAAGUCACGAUUGAGAAUUCAGUAAUUUAGUCAGUGAUAUAACAAAAUAUGAAAAGAAAAUAAAGCACAAAAAUACUAUUUUGAACAAAGUAGGGUAGUGAAUCACCGAAGGUGCAAUAAACCGAUGAAAGUGUUACAGCAAAUAAAUUCGAUGUGAGCAAAGACAAGCGAACCGUGAGGGCAACCGUCGAAAACCAGAAAUCGAAAAUAACAAUCUUUGUAUAACACAAAGUAACAAAUCCUUAAAAAACCUAAAGGCUAGAGGCAAUUACCCAAGUCCUAAUCCUAGAGUAACAAAUCCGAUCUAGUGAAAAAUACAAGACAAUUUACUCACAACCAACAUCAAAAAGUAAAAGAUUUUGCCAAGAACUCAAACAAUACUUGACCAUUUUCAGAAGCACCGCCUGGCAAAUGAAAACAAAAUGAUUGUUAAGAGACAAAAAAAUAUUAUUUGAGCAUAUACGCAAUAAAUUCUUACAAGUUUCAAAGAGAUCUAAAAUGAAGAAAACAAGUGAAAUCAUAACUUGUUUGUUGUAGGAUUGGAAUACUUAAACCAAUCUCACCUAUAAUAUCACACCUAUUCCUUCGGAGUCUUAUAUGAAAAUUACCAACCACAAUAAAUAAAUAAAUUAAAAGAAUAACAAACACAUAAUGUUAAAAUAUUACCAAAUCUCAGAGGUGGAUCAAUAAAUUGUAUCAAGAACUCACAUUAGCAUCCACAAAACUUCUAUGUUAAAUGAAAUUGUGCAAAUUUAAACUUAACUUGACCGACAUAAAUAAAUUUGAACCUAUCAAAUGCCUUGACCGAGUAAGAAGACCGAGUGAACACGACCUAAAAAUAAUUAGCAACACAAAUAGAGGUGACAAACUAAGUUUAAGCCUCUUGCCACCAUUCAGGUCUAAAACAAAGACAAGGAAAAAAUAAAUUAACAGUAAGAAUGCGUAAAAAAAUAUAUAAAGAAAACUCGAGAGUAAGUAACCUUUAGUUGAAAGUACACAUCCUCUUUUAUCCUUAUCAAAAGAUCUGAAAACUGAGACCGACACGAGAAGUCACUCGAUGUCUCGAUCAAAUAAUAAAAACAUGUAACAAAAUAAAACACAAAAAAGAAUACUAUUAUAAGAACAAAUUAAGAUAUUGACUCCCACCGUUGCAAUAAACUAAGAACCUUGGUGGGAGCACAAGCAAGCAAAUCGAGAUGAGCAUCAAUUGAAACUAAUCAGAAAUCAAAGAUAAUAAUCUUCCAGUAACACAAAGUAAUGAAACCUUAAAAAUCCAAAAAGGCUAGAGGCAGAAAACCAAUAUGGGCCUAAUCCUAGAGUAAUGAACCCCGUCCCCUAAACCUAUAAAUGAGAACUAUAACUAAACGACCAUGCACAUCUAACAACAAUGGAAGAGUGCAAAAUCGUGUUGACAAAAUGUUACAACACAAAUAAAAAGUAACACAAAAAUAAAUGCACCUUGAAAUUUGGAGAGGCGGAAUAGAUUACAUAAGAAGGCAAAAUGUCUCGCAUAAAUGAUGAGCACAAGAGAAAAAUAGCCUAAUGGUAGACAUGCUCAUGAUAUAAUUGAAUUUUGUUAUUAUAGAGAAUUACUUGGUAAAAUUAUUGUUCAAAUAUUAAAAUUUUAUCUAAACUAACAAACUAAAUAAUUUGUUAAAAUACGGCACACAUGACAAAAAUACUACAUUAAAAUCAAAAUGGUCAGAUGACGACUACUUCUUAGAUUCUUAUUAUUAGCUUACCUCAGAUCAAAUAGAAAGAACGCGAAACGCUAGCGCAACAGGGUCAGUUUUUAUCAACCUAUAAACAUAUCAUUACACGACAAAGAAAAGGAUGUCAAGUAUUUAUCAAAAAAUACUACUUAAUAAUGUAUCAAAAAAUGCUACUUAAUAAUAUGAACCCCAACUCAAAUGCAAGAUAGUGCUCACUACUCCCGUGGAAGAAUAUGCAACUUUUGAAGAAGUGGAUGUCACUGAACGAGCACGUGUCUAAUAAACAAUUUAAAAUUAAUAGGUCAAACCCAAUAGGUAGCUAUGUAUUCCCCAGUUAUAUUCAUAAAUUUGAGCAUUUCAUGUAAUCUCAUUGGAUUUAAGAACAAAUUAAUAAGUAAGAAGUUGUGAUUGAAUAAUCUAUAUAUAUAAGAGGAAAUAUUAUAUUAAAGAAGAUUUGUAUAUGCUCAAAACAUAAAGAAGAGAGCAGAGCAAGUAAGUGACCCACAUCAGAUAAUUAAGAAAACUAAACUAAACUAAACUAUCCCCAAAAUAUAUAUAAUACUACCAUAUAAAAUGGGUGAUGGCUCUCAUUGUGAUUGAAAAGGUAGGAUUUGAUUUGAGAUGUGGUUUGUUUGAAUAUUUUGCAUGAUAAUUUUGGGCUAUAUAUUUAUAGUUAGGUUUAUAUAACCAAAUUUAUGUAGCUCAAGGCGACAAGAGAUAAAUGAUUAAUGCCCAAUACUAAUCAUCAAGCCCAACUAUAUUUCAU
rnacentral:lncRNA from 1 species